rnacentral:rRNA from 1 species
CUGGCGGCAGGCCUAACACAUGCAAGUCGAGCGGAAACGAGUUAACUGAACCUUCGGGGGACGUUAACGGCGUCGAGCGGCGGUACGGGUGAGUAAUGCCUAGGAAAUUGCCCUGAUGUGGGGGAUAACCAUUGGAAACGAUGGCUAAUACCGCAUGAUGCCUACGGGCCAAAGAGGGGGACCUUCGGGCCUCUCGCGUCAGGAUAUGCCUAGGUGGGAUUAGCUAGUUGGUGAGGUAAGGGCUCACCAAGGCGACGAUCCCUAGCUGGUCUGAGAGGAUGAUCAGCCACACUGGAACUGAGACACGGUCCAGACUCCUACGGGAGGCAGCAGUGGGGAAUAUUGCACAAUGGGCGCAAGCCUGAUGCAGCCAUGCCGCGUGUGUGAAGAAGGCCUUCGGGUUGUAAAGCACUUUCAGUCGUGAGGAAGGUUUAUGCGUUAAUAGCGUAUAGAUUUGACGUUAGCGACAGAAGAAGCACCGGCUAACUCCGU